GCUCAGCAGAGGAGCAAGCCCGAGCGCAUAAACGUUUUGCAAGCCUUUGCUUGCAUCGUGUUUGUUCACGUCCCGUUGGCCAAAGGAAGUCACAAGGCUCGGAGUCAGUGUGGGAGAACACUCGCAUGGAUCAUGGGUAGAAAAAGCAGCAUAAUUUGUGACCAUUUUUAUAAUCUACCACAGCAGCUAAACACAAGGGAUGACAUUUGUUUAAGGAAGAAAGAAUACGCUAUUGAUGGAAGAAACCGGGAGAAAAGACAAAAGCCUCCAAAACAGUGAGACUGAGCUUUUAGAAGGCUAAGAAACAAUUGCCUCUUUUGGCCAAUCCCAAGGAAAGGGGGUCCAUUCUGGGCCUAUGCAUCUCAUCACUUUCCAGCAUUUGCAGAGUGCACGACUACUAUGGGACAGCAUGUCAGCCAACAAAAGCGAACCACAGCAGCUCCACCGGCCGCCCCAUUUCUUUGGUGAAAAAUGCCAGUUAAGUCCUCUGGCUGAGCCAGGAGAAAACAAUGAUUCAACGCAAGGCCCUUCACUUCAGAAAACAUCGAUACCAGACUCAAUAAACCCUUAUAAGAUCAAACAUUUUUGUGGUUCACAAGCACUGAAAGAGCAGUCCAUCUGUCUCCACAUGCCAGGCCUGGCUCCUUUCAAUUCAUUCUUCAAACUGUAGCCAGAAGAUGUGAACUCCGUUUUGUUAUUUUUGGUGUUAUUGCAGUGUCUAGCAUUGUGUUUAGUAAUAAUUAGAGGUAAAUAAAUGUUUAAGUAUUGA